AUUGAACGCUGGCGGCAGGCCUAACACAUGCAAGUCGAACGCGUGGCGGACGGGUGAGUAAGUUAUGGGAAACUGCCUGAUGGAGGGGGAUAACUACGGGAAAAGGUAGCCAAAACCGCAUACCAGCAGAUGUGCCCAGAUGGGAUUAGCUUGGUGGUGGGGUAACGGCUCACCAAGGCGACGAUCCCUAGCUGGUCUGAGCGGACGACCGGCCACACUGGAACGGAGACACGGUCCAGAGUCCCACGGGAGGCAGCAGUGGGGAAUAUUGCACAAUGGGCGCAAGCCUGAUGCAGCCAUGCCGCGUGUAUGAAGAAGGCCUUCGGGUUGUAAAGUACUUUCAGCGGGGAAGCGUUACCUGCAGAAGAAGCACCGGCUAACUCCGUGCCAGCAGCCGCGGUAAUAC
rnacentral:rRNA from 1 species